rnacentral:rRNA from 1 species
AGAGUUUGAUCCUGGCUCAGGAUGAACGCUAGCUACAGGCUUAACACAUGCAAGUCGAGGGGCAGCAUUUUAGUUUGCUUGCAAACUGAAGAUGGCGACCGGCGCACGGGUGAGUAACACGUAUCCAACCUGCCGAUAACUCCGGGAUAGCCUUUCGAAAGAAAGAUUAAUACCGGAUGGCAUACGAAUAUCGCAUGAUAUUUUUAUUAAAGAAUUUCGGUUAUCGAUGGGGAUGCGUUCCAUUAGUUUGUUGGCGGGGUAACGGCCCACCAAGACUACGAUGGAUAGGGGUUCUGAGAGGAAGGUCCCCCACAUUGGAACUGAGACACGGUCCAAACUCCUACGGGAGGCAGCAGUGAGGAAUAUUGGUCAAUGGGCGAGAGCCUGAACCAGCCAAGUAGCGUGAAGGAUGAAGGCUCUAUGGGUCGUAAACUUCUUUUAUAUGGGAAUAAAGUUUUCCACGUGUGGAAUUUUGUAUGUACCAUAUGAAUAAGGAUCGGCUAACUCCGUGCCAGCAGCCGCGGUAAUACGGAGGAUCCGAGCGUUAUCCGGAUUUAUUGGGUUUAAAGGGAGCGUAGGUGGAUUGUUAAGUCAGUUGUGAAAGUUUGCGGCUCAACCGUAAAAUUGCAGUUGAAACUGGCAGUCUUGAGUACAGUAGAGGUGGGCGGAAUUCGUGGUGUAGCGGUGAAAUGCUUAGAUAUCACGAAGAACUCCGAUUGCGAAGGCAGCUCACUAGACUGUCACUGACACUGAUGCUCGAAAGUGUGGGUAUCAAACAGGAUUAGAUACCCUGGUAGUCCACACAGUAAACGAUGAAUACUCGCUGUUUGCGAUAUACAGUAAGCGGCCAAGCGAAAGCAUUAAGUAUUCCACCUGGGGAGUACGCCGGCAACGGUGAAACUCAAAGGAAUUGACGGGGGCCCGCACAAGCGGAGGAACAUGUGGUUUAAUUCGAUGAUACGCGAGGAACCUUACCCGGGCUUAAAUUGCAACAGAAUAUAUUGGAAACAGUAUAGCCGUAAGGCUGUUGUGAAGGUGCUGCAUGGUUGUCGUCAGCUCGUGCCGUGAGGUGUCGGCUUAAGUGCCAUAACGAGCGCAACCCUUAUCUUUAGUUACUAACAGGUUAUGCUGAGGACUCUAGAGAGACUGCCGUCGUAAGAUGUGAGGAAGGUGGGGAUGACGUCAAAUCAGCACGGCCCUUACGUCCGGGGCUACACACGUGUUACAAUGGGGGGUACAGAAGGCGGCUACCUGGUGACAGGAUGCUAAUCCCAAAAACCUCUCUCAGUUCGGAUCGAAGUCUGCAACCCGACUUCGUGAAGCUGGAUUCGCUAGUAAUCGCGCAUCAGCCAUGGCGCGGUGAAUACGUUCCCGGGCCUUGUACACACCGCCCGUCAAGCCAUGAAAGCCGGGGGUACCUGAAGUACGUAACCGCAAGGAGCGUCCUAGGGUAAAACUGGUAAUUGGGGCUAAGUCGUAACAAGGUAGCCGUACCGGAAGGUGCGGCUG